rnacentral:rRNA from 1 species
CCUACGGGGGGCAGCAGUGGGGAAUAUUGGACAAUGGGGGCAACCCUGAUCCAGCCAUGCCGCGUGUGUGAAGAAGGCCCUCGGGUUGUAAAGCACUUUCAGUGAGGAAGAACGCCUGGUGGUUAAUACCCAUCAGGAAAGACAUCACUCACAGAAGAAGCACCGGCUAACUCCGUGCCAGCAGCCGCGGUAAUACGGAGGGUGCGAGCGUUAAUCGGAAUUACUGGGCGUAAAGCGCGCGUAGGUGGCUUGAUAAGCCGGUUGUGAAAGCCCCGGGCUCAACCUGGGAACGGCAUCCGGAACUGUCAAGCUAGAGUGCCGGAGAGGAAGGUAGAAUUCCCGGUGUAGCGGUGAAAUGCGUAGAGAUCGGGAGGAAUACCAGUGGCGAAGGCGGCCUUCUGGACUGACACUGACACUGAGGUGCGAAAUCGUGGGUAGCAAACAGGAUUAGAUACCCUGGUAGGC